GAACUUCAGUGGGGAAUCGGUUUGUGCUAUCUCUUCUUUUACAGUUUCAUUUGACCUUGUCAUUACGAUUUCCAUAAGUUUUUACUUCUUGACAUGUAUGUCUAUUUAAUAUUAGUGUUACUGAUGAUGGAACACUGUUAUCCUUUGGAAAUUAACCGAUCAGGAUAUCAAGCAAAUGAUAUCUUCCUUUAUUACAAAUGAAACUGUUAUAGAAGAGGUAGCAAUUACUAUGAUUUAUAGCAUUAAACCUUUUGGAUUUUAGUAUCCAUAAAGGGCUAACACCACCAAUUUCUUUGAUGGCCUUUAUAUGAUAUAUACAUCAGCAACUAUGUAAUGCACAAUCAAGCUUUUCAGUUGCCAUGUGCAAUCCAGAAGACUGUUAAACUCCAGCAGUGGUUCUUAUUUGCUUAUAAUUGUGCAUUGUCUUGAUUAAUUUGCAGUCUUUCUUACAAAAAGCAACCUCAAUUGUGAUUUUGGUUUGUUUUGUAUAUCUGUUUUCCCGGGUGAAAGUAAAUGUGCUUGAAGUUGAACAACUCAAAAUAACAUGGGAAAAUAAGACGGAAAAUUUUUGCUAGAUAUGACUCUAAAUAAAAAUCAGAAAUGCCAGGGAUUGUUUUGCUAGAUAUGACCCUAAAUAGAGCUGAACAUGAAAGACAUCAACAACUCACUGGUUGAUUAGGUUGAGCAAUUUUUGGAUAACUGAG
rnacentral:misc_RNA from 1 species